AGGAUCUUUGCCAGCCUAAUCCAUUUGGCACCGGUGAACUAGGGGGAGGCCUGGCUACUUUUCACUGUACGUAUCCUGUAUGUUGGCAUGAUGGGAGGAGCACAGCUGUGAUGCUGCCAUUUCCUUUAUUUUUUCCAAUGGAACGAAAGGUUCUCAUCAAGGAUUCACAAUUUUAAAUGACCACAAAACCAGGGCGAGGAACUUGAUCUAAAGUUUGCCCAAGAAGUAACAGAGGCUGCGCGGGCACGGGACAUAGUAAUCAUGGGCAACUGCUUGCCAAGCACAGGUAAGCAAUAAGCAGGUAAGCAAUAAGGGGCCCUUUGGGAAUCGGAGCUGGGGGGCAAAAAAGGCACCAGUCACAGGGCUCAAGUGCCUAUAUACUAAUGCUAGGAGCAUGGGGAACAAGCAGGAUGAAUUAGCACUCUUGCUUGCAGAAAAUACCUACAACUUAGUAGGGCUAUCUGAA